GGAAAGGCGCGCGAUACAGGGUGACAGCCCCGUACACAAAAAUGCACAUGCUGUGAGCUCGAUGAGUAGGGCGGGACACGUGGUAUCCUGUCUGAAUAUGGGGGGACCAUCCUCCAAGGCUAAAUACUCCUGACUGACCGAUAGUGAACCAGUACCGUGAGGGAAAGGCGAAAAGAACCCCGGCGAGGGGAGUGAAAAAGAACCUGAAACCGUGUACGUACAAGCAGUGGGAGCACGCUUAGGCGUGUGACUGCGUACCUUUUGUAUAAUGGGUCAGCGACUUAUAUUCUGUAGCAAGGUUAACCGAAUAGGGGAGCCGAAGGGAAACCGAGUCUUAACUGGGCGUUAAGUUGCAGGGUAUAGACCCGAAACCCGGUGAUCUAGCCAUGGGCAGGUUGAAGGUUGGGUAACACUAACUGGAGGACCGAACCGACUAAUGUUGAAAAAUUAGCGGAUGACUUGUGGCUGGGGGUGAAAGGCCAAUCAAACCGGGAGAUAGCUGGUUCUCCCCGAAAGCUAUUUAGGUAGCGCCUCGUGAAUUCAUCUCCGGGGGUAGAGCACUGUUUCGGCAAGGGGGUCAUCCCGACUUACCAACCCGAUGCAAACUGCGAAUACCGGAGAAUGUUAUCACGGGAGACACACGGCGGGUGCUAACGUCCGUCGUGAAGAGGGAAACAACCCAGACCGCCAGCUAAGGUCCCAAAGUCAUGGUUAAGUGGGAAACGAUGUGGGAAGGCCCAGACAGCCAGGAUGUUGGCUUAGAAGCAGCCAUCAUUUAAAGAAAGCGUAAUAGCUCACUGGUCGAGUCGGCCUGCGCGGAAGAUGUAACGGGGCUAAACCAUGCACCGAAGCUGCGGCAGCGACACUAUGUGUUGUUGGGUAGGGGAGCGUUCUGUAAGCCUGUGAAGGUGUGCUGUGAGGCAUGCUGGAGGUAUCAGAAGUGCGAAUGCUGACAUAAGUAACGAUAAAGCGGGUGAAAAGCCCGCUCGCCGGAAGACCAAGGGUUCCUGUCCAACGUUAAUCGGGGCAGGGUGAGUCGACCCCUAAGGCGAGGCCGAAAGGCGUAGUCGAUGGGAAACAGGUUAAUAUUCCUGUACUUGGUGUUACUGCGAAGGGGGGACGGAGAAGGCUAUGUUGGCCGGGCGACGGUUGUCCCGGUUUAAGCGUGUAGGCUGGUUUUCCAGGCAAAUCCGGAAAAUCAAGGCUGAGGCGUGAUGACGAGGCACUACGGUGCUGAAGCAACAAAUGCCCUGCUUCCAGGAAAAGCCUCUAAGCAUCAGGUAACAUCAAAUCGUACCCCAAACCGACACAGGUGGUCAGGUAGAGAAUACCAAGGCGCUUGAGAGAACUCGGGUGAAGGAACUAGGCAAAAUGGUGCCGUAACUUCGGGAGAAGGCACGCUGAUAUGUAGGUGAAGCGACUUGCUCGUGGAGCUGAAAUCAGUCGAAGAUACCAGCUGGCUGCAACUGUUUAUUAAAAACACAGCACUGUGCAAACACGAAAGUGGACGUAUACGGUGUGACGCCUGCCCGGUGCCGGA
rnacentral:rRNA from 1 species